CCCCGCCCCAACCCCGGGUCCUAAAGCUCCUCCAGCAAGCCCGGUGUUCUUCCUGGCUGAGGAGUGGUUCAGCGGAGCGGGCUCUUCCACCUCCUUCAGCUCCCCAAGUGACACCGGAUCUAGGAAAGUUUGUGCCUUUUGCUGAAACUCUGGGGUUGACAGGAGCUCAUCUAACAGGCUGGAGAAAACGAGAGCGAAACUACAGAGAAAAACGUCCCGUGCAUCACGGCCUGACCACAGAUUCCUGUUUCCUGCAACAAGGGAAGUCUCCACUGUGGCCUGUUUGGAAACUGGAAAGGAGAGCGAAGACAGGAUGCUGCUUUUCCACGCUUCGCUGGAGGUUUCUGGGUCCCCACAGAGCUCGGGAAACAAAUAGUCAACAUGGUCACGCUUUUGGGGGCCGGAGACAUGUGAACAACAGGCCCCCUUGCAGAGGGCAAAGGAGUGGCCCUGAAUGUGACUCCUGUGUGGACGGGACUAUCCGCCUCGCGCUCUGUUGCAGGCUCAACGUGGGGCUAUCUCAUCUGUGAACCAUGUGGAUGAAAAACGGACAAUCACCCGAGUCUCGGCUCACUGCUCUCUGGGNNN
rnacentral:lncRNA from 1 species